rnacentral:rRNA from 1 species
AACGAACGCUGGCGGCAUGCCUAACACAUGCAAGUCGAACGAGACCUUCGGGUCUAGUGGCGCACGGGUGCGUAACGCGUGGGAAUCUGCCCUGGGGUGCGGAAUAACUCGGAGAAAUCCGUGCUAAUACCGCAUAAUGUCUUCGGACCAAAGAUUUAUCGCCCUGGGAUGAGCCCGCGUAAGAUUAGCUAGUUGGUGGGGUAAAGGCCUACCAAGGCGACGAUCUUUAGCUGGUCUGAGAGGAUGAUCAGCCACACUGGGACUGAGACACGGCCCAGACUCCUGCGGGAGGCAGCAGUGGGGAAUAUUGGACAAUGGGCGAAAGCCUGAUCCAGCAAUGCCGCGUGAGUGAUGAAGGCCCUAGGGUUGUAAAGCUCUUUUACCCGGGAUGAUAAUGACAGUACCGGGAGAAUAAGCUCCGGCUAACUCCGUGCCAGCCGCCGCAGUAAGAC